rnacentral:rRNA from 1 species
AGUGAACGCUGGCGGUAGGCCUAACACAUGCAAGUCGAACGGCAGCACAGUAAGAGCUUGCUCUUACGGGUGGCGAGUGGCGGACGGGUGAGGAAUACAUCGGAAUCUACUUUUUCGUGGGGGAUAACGUAGGGAAACUUACGCUAAUACCGCAUACGACCUACGGGUGAAAGCAGGGGAUCUUCGGACCUUGCGCGAUUGAAUGAGCCGAUGUCGGAUUAGCUAGUUGGCGGGGUAAAGGCCCACCAAGGCGACGAUCCGUAGCUGGUCUGAGAGGAUGAUCAGCCACACUGGAACUGAGCCACGGUCCAGACUCCUACGGGAGGCAGCAGUGGGGAAUAUUGGACAAUGGGCGCAAGCCUGAUCCAGCCAUCCCGCGUGGGUGAAGAAGGCCUUCGGGUUGUAAAGCCCUUUUGUUGGGAAAGAAAAGCAGCAGGUUAAUACCCCGCUGUUCUGACGGUACCCAAAGAAUAAGCACCGGCUAACUUCGUG